rnacentral:lncRNA from 1 species
CCGCGCCCACAGCGACAUCCCGGCGGCACCGCAGCCCCGAGCCGAGGCCGCGCAGGCCGCACUCACCUCUGCCCGCAGCCCGGAACCCUCAGCGCGGAGCCCGCAGCCCGGAACGCACAACCCGCAGCGCUGAGCCCGGAACGCACAGUCCGCAACACCGAGCCCGGAACGCACAGCCCGCAGCACCGAGCCCGGCUCCUCCCCGCGGACGCCUCGUACCCGCUCCGCUCUUUCAGAACGAUUAUGAGUCUCUAGCGAACUUUAUUAGUAUCCGGGUUCACCGAGCUACUCCUUGCCGACGCCGCCGGGGAUGGAGGGCGCGCCGGACUCCCGCCCGCCGCGCUGAGGAGCAUGCGCCACCUGGUCUGCGCAUGCUCAGCACCGGCCCCGCCCUGCGCUGGCAGGGAAGGCGCGGGCUGGGUUUGCACAGCAUCAGGCCUUGGUACCCAAGGAGACCAAGGUGAGCAGGAUGUGCUAACCUACUGAAGGGUAUGACUGAACAAAAUAGAAGACCGUGAUGGCUAACAACUCAGAAAACUAACCCACAAAUUUAAAAAGGUCCUGCAAAAAAGCAAACUCGCUUCAAACGCGGCGUGGAAACACACGUGUGUGAUCCUAGUACUUGGAAAGAUGGUGUGGCAUGAAGAUCAGGAUUUCAAGGCCAGCCUGAACUACAAUAAACUAUGUCUCAAAAUACAUAAACGUUGGUUGUUUCUGUAUGCAUCAAAAUAAAACAGGGGAGGGUGAUAUAAAAUACCAAGUGUUGAAAAGAAUGUGAAUUAGCUGAAUUUGUGUGCUGGGUUCCAGAUGGUGGAUGCACUGCACCAGUGGCUUCAAGCUCCUGCCUUUGAUUUCGCCACCAUGAUGGAGCAUAACCUUUAACGGUGAGCCAAAGGUGUGGCAAACACAAUAUGGCUGAGGUUGAGGAAAUGGAGCAGUCAGAACUGAAGAAGACAGAAAUUGAAGAGAAAACUCUCCUGCCUCCACGGUCAAGUGUAAAGGACCAAGCUGCCUCUCACAUUACCAAGAACCACAAACAACAAAGGUGACAGUCACCCCUGCCUCUGCCUCCUGCAGGUCUGCCUGACAAGAGACCUUCCUUCCAUGCUGGUAGAGGAACACCCGGCUGGAAGCGGUGAAAUCUGGAGUAAAAUCUAAAAUGCUCAAAGGUGUCUGACCAGCAGAUGCAGUAAGAUGCAGUUUAAUCGAGUGCCAUUUUUGUCCACAGGAUUUUAAGUUUUGGAAUGCAGAGAUUUUAAUAAGCAAAUUAUAAAAACACGUAAGAAAAAAUUAAAGGCAUAAUUUGCCAAAGG